GCAGGGAGAGAAGAGCUCUGCAGUUUGCAGGCUGCUCCGAUCCUAGGCCUCGCGGAUCCUAGGCCGGAGCUGGAGGCAAGGAAGACAGCACCCAACUGAAAGAACUCAUGAAAGAGAAACAUUAAGGACGGGUGCUGAAGUGUUUUAUUACAAGAGAUUAAACUGGUAUGAUGGAAGCAGUGUUGCCCAAGGGACACUCACCUGUUAAAGUGCCACCAUCAACGUUGUCAGUAAUAAUUUAAAAAAGAGAGAGUCCUAAGUAGAGAACAGAUGCACGAACACCCCUGGAGCCAAAUGCAUUAUGGAGACACGCUGUUAUCACACUCCUUGAGACUGCCAUUUUCACCUGCUCAUGUGCCAUUUUCACCUGUAGAUUGCUGGCAAGGUGCUUUUCUUGCAGAACCGAGACAUUUUUCAAGUUCAAACCCAACCUUGUAACUGUGAUGUAAAUGUCGUUAUUCCUACCCACCCCUUCCCACCAUGUUUUAACCAAUGUGUGUUGUUCAUAAAUGAAUGUUUUAAAGUUAUUUUACUUCAGUUUAUAGCUUUACUAUUGUCUGAAUGUAGAAGCACUUAGAUGAAUUCUCGUUACUGUGUGCACCACUAAUUCUUAUACAGCCCUGCCAGAAAGAGACUCAUUUGUCUCAAUGGGGUUUUGUGCUAAUGCAGUGCUUUGAGAACUGAUCUGCUUCACGUUGUUAUAAAAGAGCUUAGGGCUUGUACUCAGGAAGAUUGGUUUAACUACAUAGCUUCAACUGCACUGGAAUGCAUGUAAGUGCUGGUGGGGUUGGUGUGGAGAGGCGCACAUAGCUGAAACUUGUCCUAGUUCCCUGUGAAGACCUGGGCCUGCAUAGGAACAUAGGAAGCUGCCACAUACCGAGUCAGACCAUAAGUCCAUCUAGCUCAGUAUUGUCUACCCAGACUGGCAGUGGCUUCUCCAAGGCUGCAGGCAGGAAUCUUGCAGGCCUUGGAGAUGCCAGGGAGGGAAAUUGGAACCUUCUGCUCUUCCCAGAGCGGCUCCAUCCCUUAAGGGGAAUACCUUACAGGGCUCACACAUCGUCUCCCAUUCAUAUGCAACCAGGGUGGACCCUGCUUAGCUAAGGGGACAAGUCAUGCUUGCUACUCCUCUCAUCAGGCUGCUUGCAGCUACUCCCAGGAUACCAGCAGUGAUCUUAACUGUAGAGCUGGGGUAAAGGAGAGGCCUGGAAGCAGGGAGGUUUCCCAGUGGACUGCACUGCUCUCAUGGUACAUUAUGGGAUACUUGUUGGCCCAGCUUCCUACCCACUCCUACUCCUGGAGGAGGUGGGCUCAUUGCAGCACUGUUCGUGUGGGUGCGUGUGUGGUGGAGCCCAGAAGCUACUCGAAUAAUCUGGAGGAAGGCAGUGUUGUAUUCAAUCUAGCUAUCUUUUAUUUUUUGUUAAUUAGAAGUUUGUUCCAGGGGGAUUGUGUAGAGAAUGUGGAGUCAGGAAUGAAAGGAGAAGGAGAAAAAUGGAGUUGUUUCUGAAUAAAGCUUAGUUAAACA